GAUGAACGCUGGCGGCGUGCCUAAUACAUGCAAGUCGAGCUAACGGACGACAAUCUUGCUUUACUGUUGUUAGCCGCGUACGUGUGACUAACACGUGUAUAACCUACCUGUAAAACUGGUAUAACUUCGGGAAACCGUAGCUAAUACCGGAUAAGAUUUUGAACCGCAUGAUUCAAAAGUAAAAUACGGUCUUUCUGUCGCUUAUAGAUGGAUCCGCGCUUCAUGAGCUAGUUGGUAAGGUAACGGCUUACCAAGGAAACGAUGCGUAGCCGACCUGAGAGGGUGAUCGGCCACACUGGAACUGAGACAAGGUCCAGACUACUACGGGAGGCAGCAGUAGGGAAUCUUCCGCAAUGGGCGAAAGCAUGACGCAGCAACGCCGCGUGAGUGAUGAAGGCCUUCGGAUUGUAAAAUUCUGUUAUUAGGGAAGAACAUAUGUGUAAGUAAAUGUGCACAUCUUGACGGUACCUAAUCAGAAAGCAACGGCUAACUACGUG
rnacentral:rRNA from 1 species